rnacentral:rRNA from 1 species
AGUCGAGCGCGCCCUUCGGGGUGAGCGGCGGACGGGUUAGUAACGCGUGGGAACAUACCCUUUUCUACGGAAUAGCCUCUGGAAACGGAGAGUAAUACCGUAUGAGCCCUUCGGGGGAAAGAUUUAUCGGGAAAGGAUUGGCCCGCGUUAGAUUAGGUAGUUGGUGGGGUAAUGGCCUACCAAGCCUACGAUCUAUAGCUGGUUUUAGAGGAUGAUCAGCAACACUGGGACUGAGACACGGCCCAGACUCCUACGGGAGGCAGCAGUGGGGAAUCUUGGACAAUGGGCGCAAGCCUGAUCCAGCCAUGCCGCGUGAGUGAUGAAGGCCUUAGGGUCGUAAAGCUCUUUCGCCUGUGAAGAUAAUGACGGUAGCAGGUAAAGAAACCCCGGCUAACUCCGUGCCAGCAGCCGCGGUAAUACGGAGGGGGUUAGCGUUGUUCGGAAUUACUGGGCGUAAAGCGCACGUAGGCGGACUGGAAAGUAUGGGGUGAAAUCCCAGGGCUCAACCCUGGAACUGCCUCAUAAACUCCCAGUCUUGAGUUCGAGAGAGGUGAGUGGAAUUCCGAGUGUAGAGGUGAAAUUCGUAGAUAUUCGGAGGAACACCAGUGGCGAAGGCGGCUCACUGGCUCGAUACUGACGCUGAGGUGCGAAAGUGUGGGGAGCAAACAGGAUUAGAUACCCUGGUAGUCCACACCGU